rnacentral:rRNA from 1 species
GCCAAGGAUCCAUGGAUUUCUGUUAAGGCCAUCUUCAAUUCAAUAGACUUGUACCAACACUUUCACCUACCUUUGUCUGCUCAAGCUUUUGAUGAGCUAAACCUGAUAAGAAAUAUGUUGGUCUCCCAUACAAGAGAUGACACUUGUAAGGAUUUAUGGUUCUGGCAGGGCUCUUCAAAGGUUUACAAACCUAAGCUGUUCUAUGGUCAUGUUUUUCAGAAUGAAACAUUCAACCACUUGCUGUGCUGGAUCUGGAAAUCCUCUUGCACUAUCAAGAUCAAGGUUUUUGCAUGGAUGCUCAUCAUGGAUAGACUCAACACUAAGGAUAUGGUUGAUAGAAGGCACUGGCACAUGGAUGAUGGUGUUACUUGUAGGCUAUGCCCCCUUCAAGUGAGAGAAACCAGAGACCAUCUCUUCUUUAACUGCAAUUUCAGUGUCAGAGUUUGGAAUUAUUUG